GACGAACGCUGGCGGCGUGCUUAACACAUGCAAGUCGAACGGAAAGGCCCUGCUUUUGUGGGGUGCUCGAGUGGCGAACGGGUGAGUAACACGUGAGUAACCUGCCCUUGACUUUGGGAUAACUUCAGGAAACUGGGGCUAAUACCGGAUAGGAGCUCCUGCUGCAUGGUGGGGGUUGGAAAGUUUCGGCGGUUGGGGAUGGACUCGCGGCUUAUCAGCUUGUUGGUGGGGUAGUGGCUUACCAAGGCUUUGACGGGUAGCCGGCCUGAGAGGGUGACCGGCCACAUUGGGACUGAGAUACGGCCCAGACUCGUACGGGAGGCAGCAGUGGGGAAUAUUGCACAAUGGGCGGAAGCCUGAUGCAGCAACGCCGCGUGCGGGAUGACGGCCUUCGGGUUGUAAACCGCUUUCGCCUGUGACGAAGCGUGAGUGACGGUAAUGGGGAAAGAAGCACCGGCGAACUACGU
rnacentral:rRNA from 1 species